AACGCUGAAGAGAGGAGCUUGCUCUUCUUGGAUGAGUUGCGAACGGGUGAGUAACGCGUAGGCAACCUGCCUUGUAGCGGGGGAUAACUAUUGGAAACGAUAGCUAAUACCGCAUAACAAUGGAUGACACAUGUCAUUUAUUUGAAAGGGGCAAUUGCUCCACUACAAGAUGGACCUGCGUUGUAUUAGCUAGUAGGUGAGGUAACGGCUCACCUAGGCGACGAUACAUAGCCGACCUGAGAGGGUGAUCGGCCACACUGGGACUGAGACACGGCCCAGACUCCUACGGGAGGCAGCAGUAGGGAAUCUUCGGCAAUGGGGGCAACCCUGACCGAGCAACGCCGCGUGAGUGAAGAAGGUUUUCGGAUCGUAAAGCUCUGUUGUAAGUCAAGAACGAGUGUGAGAGUGGAAAGUUCACACUGUGACGGUAGCUUACCAGAAAGGGACGGCUAACUACGUGCCAGCAGCCGCGGUAAUACGUAGGUCCCGAGCGUUGUCCGGAUUUAUUGGGCGUAAAGCGAGCGCAGGCGGUUUGAUAAGUCUGAAGUUAAAGGCUGUUGCUCAACCAUAGUUCGCUUUGGAAACUGUCAAACUUGAGUGCAGAAGGGGAGAGUGGAAUUCCAUGUGUAGCGGUGAAAUGCGUAGAUAUAUGGAGGAACACG
rnacentral:rRNA from 1 species